rnacentral:rRNA from 1 species
UCCUGGCUCAGAUUGAACGCUAGCGGGAUGCCUUACACAUGCAAGUCGAACGGCAGCACGGACUUCGGUCUGGUGGCGAGUGGCGAACGGGUGAGUAAUGUACCGGAACGUGCCUAGUAGCGGGGGAUAACUACGCGAAAGCGUAGCUAAUACCGCAUACGCCCUACGGGGGAAAGCAGGGGAUCGCAAGACCUUGCGCUAUUAGAGCGGCCGAUAUCGGAUUAGCUAGUUGGUGGGGUAACGGCUCACCAAGGCGACGAUCCGUAGCUGGUUUGAGAGGACGACCAGCCACACUGGGACUGAGACACGGCCCUGACUCCUACGGGAGGCAGCAGUGGGGAAUUUUGGACAAUGGGGGAAACCCUGAUCCAGCCAUCCCGCGUGUGCGAUGAAGGCCUUCGGGUUGUAAAGCACUUUUGGCAGGAAAGAAACGUCAUGGGUUAAUACCCUGUGAAACUGACGGUACCUGCAGAAUAAGCACCGGCUAACUACGUGCCAGCAGCCGCGGUAAUACGUAGGGUGCAAGCGUUAAUCGGAAUUACUGGGCGUAAAGCGUGCGCAGGCGGUUCGGAAAGAAAGAUGUGAAAUCCCAGAGCUUAACUUUGGAACUGCAUUUUUAACUACCGAGCUAGAGUGUGUCAGAGGGAGGUGGAAUUCCGCGUGUAGCAGUGAAAUGCGUAGAUAUGCGGAGGAACACCGAUGGCGAAGGCAGCCUCCUGGGAUAACACUGACGCUCAUGCACGAAAGCGUGGGGAGCAAACAGGAUUAGAUACCCUGGUAGUCCACGCCCUAAACGAUGUCAACUAGCUGUUGGGGCCUUCGGGCCUCAGUAGCGCAGCUAACGCGUGAAGUUGACCGCCUGGGGAGUACGGUCGCAGAUUAAAACUCAAGGAUUGACGGGACCCGCACAGCGUGAUGAUGUGAUUAAUUCGAUGCACGCGAAAACUACCUACCUUGACAUGUCUAGAAGCGAAAAAAUUGGCUGUGCUCCGCAAAAAACUGGAAACAGUGCUGCAUGGCUGCCGUCCACUCCUGUCGUGGAAGGUGUGUUAAUCCCCCACCAGGCCACCUUGUCUUAUUGUCUCAAGGGACCUUCUAAUGGAAUCGCGCGGUGGAACUCGCGG